rnacentral:rRNA from 1 species
GAUGAACGCUGGCGGCGUGCCUAAUACAUGCAAGUCGAGCGAACAGACGAGGAGCUUGCUCCUUCGACGUUAGCGGCGGACGGGUGAGUAACACGUAGGUAACCUACCUAUAAGACUGGGAUAACUUCGGGAAACCGGAGCUAAUACCGGAUAAUAUUUCGAACCGCAUGGUUCGAUAGUGAAAGAUGGCUUUGCUAUCACUUAUAGAUGGACCUGCGCCGUAUUAGCUAGUUGGUAAGGUAACGGCUUACCAAGGCAACGAUACGUAGCCGACCUGAGAGGGGGAUAGGCCACACUGGAACUGAGACACGGUCCAGACUCCUACGGGAGGCAGCAGUAGGGAAUCUUCCGCAAUGGGCGAAAGCCUGACGGAGCAACGCCGCGUGAGUGAUGAAGGUCUUCGGAUCGUAAAACUCUGUUAUUAGGGAAGAACAAACGUGUAAGUAACUGUGCACGUCUUGACGGUACCUAAUCAGAAAGCCACGGCUAACUACGUG